rnacentral:piRNA from 1 species
UGCAAAUAGGCCUUACAGUAUGGU